CUUCCUCUGUCGCCUGCUCACUUCCUGUUUCUGCGUCUGAGGGCCCAACGGUGCAGUGAUGAUUAGCCGGGCCUUUGCGUGACAAUCAAGCAGCCAGACACACUUAGUUUCCCCCAUUCAGACCGGAAGCAGCACUAUUGCAACGAAUCAUCUGUGAAAUCUGUCUGCGCCCUUUCAAAAACAGGAAGUGUGACUGAGAUCUGAUAAAGACCCUCUCAAUUUCAUCCAGAUCACAUGGGCAUCAGUCAUCAGAACAACCUCCUCGACAG